CCGCAAGACAGGUGCUGCAUGGCUGUCGUCAGCUCGGUGUCGUGAGAUGUUGGGUUAAGUCCCGCAACGAGCGCAACCCUUGUCUUCAGUUGCCAGCACGUAAAGGUGGGAACUCUGAAGAUACUGCCCCGGUUAACGGGGAGGAAGGUGGGGAUGACGUCAAGUCCUCAUGGCCCUUAUGCCCAGGGCUACACACGUGCUACAAUGGCAUAUACAAAGGGUCGCGAUACCGCGAGGUGGAGCCAAUCCCAUAAAGUAUGCCACAGUUCGGAUUGGAGUCUGCAACUCGACUCCAUGAAGUUGGAAUCGCUAGUAAUCGCAGAUCAGCAUGCUGCGGUGAAUACGUUCCCGGGCCUU
rnacentral:rRNA from 1 species